AGAGUUUGAUCCUGGCUCAGGACGAACGCUGGCGGCGUGCCUAAUACAUGCAAGUCGAGCGGACAGAUGGGAGCUUGCUCCCUGAUGUUAGCGGCGGACGGGUGAGUAACACGUGGGUAACCUGCCUGUAAGACUGGGAUAACUCCGGGAAACCGGGGCUAAUACCGGAUGGUUGUUUGAACCGCAUGGUUCAAACAUAAAAGGUGGCUUCGGCUACCACUUACAGAUGGACCCGCGGCGCAUUAGCUAGUUGGUGAGGUAAUGGCUCACCAAGGCAACGAUGCGUAGCCGACCUGAGAGGGUGAUCGGCCACACUGGGACUGAGACACGGCCCAGACUCCUACGGGAGGCAGCAGUAGGGAAUCUUCCGCAAUGGACGAAAGUCUGACGGAGCAACGCCGCGUGAGUGAUGAGGGUUUUCGGAUCGUAAAGCUCUGUUGUUAGGGAAGAACAAGUACCGUUCGAAUAGGGCGGUACCUUGACGGUACCUAACCAGAAAGCCACGGCUAACUACGUGCCAGCAGCCGCGGUAAUACGUAGGUGGCAAGCGUUGUCCGGAAUUAUUGGGCGUAAAGGGCUCGCAGGCGGUUUCUUAAGUCUGAUGUGAAAGCCCCCGGCUCAACCGGGGAGGGUCAUUGGAAACUGGGGAACUUGAGUGCAGAAGAGGAGAGUGGAAUUCCACGUGUAGCGGUGAAAUGCGUAGAGAUGUGGAGGAACACCAGUGGCGAAGGCGACUCUCUGGUCUGUAACUGACGCUGAGGAGCGAAAGCGUGGGGAGCGAACAGGAUUAGAUACCCUGGUAGUCCACGCCGUAAACGAUGAGUGCUAAGUGUUAGGGGGUUUCCGCCCCUUAGUGCUGCAGCUAACGCAUUAAGCACUCCGCCUGGGGAGUACGGUCGCAAGACUGAAACUCAAAGGAAUUGACGGGGGCCCGCACAAGCGGUGGAGCAUGUGGUUUAAUUCGAAGCAACGCGAAGAACCUUACCAGGUCUUGACAUCCUCUGACAAUCCUAGAGAUAGGACGUCCCCUUCGGGGGCAGAGUGACAGGUGGUGCAUGGUUGUCGUCAGCUCGUGUCGUGAGAUGUUGGGUUAAGUCCCGCAACGAGCGCAACCCUUGAUCUUAGUUGCCAGCAUUCAGUUGGGCACUCUAAGGUGACUGCCGGUGACAAACCGGAGGAAGGUGGGGAUGACGUCAAAUCAUCAUGCCCCUUAUGACCUGGGCUACACACGUGCUACAAUGGACAGAACAAAGGGCAGCGAAACCGCAGGUUAAGCCAAUCCCACAAAUCUGUUCUCAGUUCGGACCGCAGUCUGCAACUCGACUGCGUGAAGCUGGAAUCGCUAGUAAUCGCGGAUCAGCAUGCC
rnacentral:rRNA from 1 species